CUGACUUCCUCCAAGUGAUACUACCUGCCUUCUCUGCCAAACCCUCUGGCCCUAACCUAUCAUGUAUGAAAGGUGAAAUAGGAGCAUACUCUGAUUUCACAGUUUUAACCAUCAUCCUGUGACCCCAAAAGUCCAUCACAGGAGGGCAUAUGCACAAAGACAUUAAAUGUAAAAGAAAUGGCCUGUGCUGAGCAACAGAGAAAGCUGUAUCAGAGAUAAAACCAAACAGUAAGCUUCCUAUGACACAGCUCCAGUGGAAGAAGAGAAAGCACCACCUCAUUACUGCAAGGUGGAAACAGAAGUCCAAGAGAGAUUCUUUGUUACCACUUGACAUGGAUGGGAAUCUAGAUGAAUUACCUCACAGGAUUGCUGGUCAAAGACACUCGGAGAGACUCCAGGCAUGUGACAAGUCUCUCAUCUGCAGACCCCAUUUUCAGCUCAUGAAUGAAUUCCUGAGAUUCACCAUCCAACGGCAGGAAAUGAAUUGUGUAAGUUCAAAAGAAGAUCAGGUGAAGUGGUACGAAAUUCGGUGUUUUUCAUGUUUUUUGUUUUUAUUAAUUUACUAUAAUGUUAUUCAAAACAACAUUCCCAAUAAAGCAAAACAAAUUAGCACUGUAAAAAAAAAAAAAAA
rnacentral:lncRNA from 1 species